GAUGAACGCUAGCGGGAGGCUUAACACAUGCAAGUCGAGGGGCAGCACGAUGUAGCAAUACGUUGGUGGCGACCGGCGCACGGGUGAGUAACGCGUAUGUAACCUACCUUGUACAGGGGGAUAGCCCGGAGAAAUUCGGAUUAAUACCCCAUAAUGAUAUUAAGAGGCAUCUUUUAAUAUUUAAAGUUUCGACGGUACGAGAUGGGCAUGCGUGACAUUAGCUAGUUGGUAAAGGUAACGGCUUACCAAAGCUACGAUGUCUAGGGGUCCUGAGAGGGUGAUCCCCCACACUGGUACUGAGACACGGACCAGACUCCUACGGGUGGCAG
rnacentral:rRNA from 1 species